UAACUGACGCUGAGGCACGAAAGCGUGGGUAGCAAACAGGAUUAGAUACCCUGGUAGUCCACGCUGUAAACGAUGAUUACUAGGUGUGGGGGGACUGACCCCUUCCGUGCCGGAGUUAACACAAUAAGUAAUCCACCUGGGGAGUACGGCCGCAAGGUUGAAACUCAAAGGAAUUGACGGGGGCCCGCACAAGCAGUGGAGUAUGUGGUUUAAUUCGAAGCAACGCGAAGAACCUUACCAGGUCUUGACAUCCAACUAACGAGAUAGAGAUAUGUUAGGUGCCCUUCGGGGAAAGUUGAGACAGGUGGUGCAUGGUUGUCGUCAGCUCGUGUCGUGAGAUGUUGGGUUAAGUCCCGCAACGAGCGCAACCCUUGCUAUUAGUUGCUACGCAAGAGCACUCUAAUAGGACUGCCGUUGACAAAACGGAGGAAGGUGGGGACGACGUCAAAUCAUCAUGCCCCUUAUGACCUGGGCUACACACGUACUACAAUGGCCAUCAACAGAGGGAAGCAAAACAGCGAUGUGGAGCAAACCCCUAAAAAUGGUCUCAGUUCAGAUUGCAGGCUGCAACCCGCCUGCAUGAAGUCGGAAUGCUAGUAA
rnacentral:rRNA from 1 species